rnacentral:tRNA from 2 species
GCGGGGGUGGUGGAAUUGGUAGACACGCAAGCUUGAGGUGCUUGUGACGUUAGUCGUGGCCGUUCAAGUCGGCUCCUCCGCA